CCGUGCCUACGGGGCGCAGCAGUGGGGAAUAUUGCGCAGUGGGCGAAAGCCUGACGCAGCGACGCCGCGUGAGGGAUGAAGGUCUUCGGAUCGUAAACCUCUGUCAGCAGGGAAGAACGGUCACUGUGCUAAUCAGCAGUGAAUUGACGGUACCUGCAAAGGAAGCAUCGGCUAACUCUGUGCCAGCAGCCGCGGUAAUACGGGGGAUGCAAGCGUUAUCCGGAUUUAUUGGGUUUAAAGGGUGCGUAGGCUGUGAGGUAAGUCAGCGGUGAAAUGCCCCCGCUCAACGGGGUGAAGUGCCAUUG
rnacentral:rRNA from 1 species